rnacentral:lncRNA from 1 species
GGGUUCCGUGUAGGGGUUAUAGGCUGGCUUGAAACGCAGCUUGCUGAUGCCUAGCUUGGUGAAGAACUGCUGGAGGGUGCCCAUCAGAUGGCCCAGGGUGAGCCCACGGUCGGCCACCACCCCCUCCACCUGGUGGAAUUCAGCAAGGUGCGUGGCAUCCAGGCUCUCAUUGCGGAAGACCCGGUCGAUGGAGAAGUAUUUCACAGGGGUGAACUUACCCUGGCGAGCCAGGUGGUACAGAGCACGGGCGCUGGCAGAUGUGGUGUGUGUGCGCAGCAGGUUCUUCCUUGCUUCCUCCACCUUCCACUCAUACUUGUACCCCUGUGAACCGUAGCCUCCCUGAGAGUGAACCUUCUUCACCCUGGCCAUGUAGUUGGCGGGUAGCUCAGGGGCUUCAGCAGGGUCCUGCAGGAAGAAGGUGUCGUGCUGGUCUCGUGCUGGGUGCUGCUGGGGUUGGAAGAGGGCAUCAAAGUUCCAGAAGGAGCUCUCCACAAAGUUGUCUGUGGGCAUCUCUGUGAACCCCAUCUCCAGGAAGAUUUGGCGGAGCUGUGAGCGCACCUUGAGCAGGGGGUGCAGGUGGCCGCAGGUGGGCGGCAGCCCCAGUGCUGAGAAGUUGUAGGCCUUGAAGGGGAGCUUCCUCCAGGAGCCCGUGGCGAUCAUCUCCGGUGUCAGGUCGGUCUCCUGCCGCACUACAGCC